rnacentral:lncRNA from 1 species
CUCCAGGCUCCUACGGGCUGUGCGGUGCCAGGGCUCGACUGCUGAGCGUCGUGGGCUCCGAGAGGGACGCGGGCGGAGGGCAAAGUGGGUUCAUGAUAUGAAUUGUAAAAUUGGCGACUGCGUAAUGUAAAACACUUAACAAUUGCUUAGAUUUCCUUUGGGAAAUAACUUGCUUUUAAAUUGUAAACAAAUUACAAACAAACUGCUAGUGCUUCUGGAUCUUCUUACCGAAAUGGCUGAUUCAGGAGGAUGCGGGGAGCGUCAGAUCAGGAUUGCUGAAGGAGAGCUGAGAAUGAAACCACCAUUUAUUCAGCACUCAGAAUGCUCCAGGCAGUGUAAUCUCAUUCCAUCUUCAUUCAUGACUCCAGACAGGCUUUCCCUUCCAGGUAUGGCCACCAGUGCUCCAGAUUUACAUUCUAUUUACCUCACAACCCCAGUGGAAAAAGAAUAUCUCUUUCCUGAUUGGUCCAGCAGAAAUCUUGGUAUUAACUCUGACUGCCCACACUUGAAUAUGAACUAUUAGUAAGUACUGUGGCCAAGAGUUUGCUUCGGGAAAGAAUAUGAUAAAGUCACCUUAUCUUUCAUGUUUGCUCAGAAUAGUGAGGUGAUUCUCCACAGGAAAACUGGAAUGCUGUUACUAGAAGAAGAAAUACUGGACAAAGCUAAUAGAUGUCCCCAAAAGUGAUGAUAAUAAUUUUAUUCAAAUAGGUUCA